GAUGAACGCUGGCGGCGUGCCUAAUACAUGCAAGUCGAGCGAACGGACGAGAAGCUUGCUUUUCUGAUGCUAGCGGCGGACGGGUGAGUAACACGUGGAUAACCUACCUAUAAGACUGGGAUAACUUCGGGAAACCGGAGCUAAUACCGGAUAAUAUUUUGAACCGCAUGGUUCAAAAGUGAAAGACGGUCUUGCUGUCACUUAUAGAUGGAUCCGCGCUGCAUUAGCUAGUUGGUAAGGUAACGGCUUACCAAGGCAACGAUGCAUAGCCGACCUGAGAGGGUGAUCGGCCACACUGGAACUGAGACACGGUCCAGACUCCUACGGGAGGCAGCAGUAGGGAAUCUUCCGCAAUGGGCGAAAGCCUGACGGAGCAACGCCGCGUGAGUGAUGAAGGUCUUCGGAUCGUAAAACUCUGUUAUUAGGGAAGAACAUAUGUGUAAGUAACUGUGCACAUCUUGACGGUACCUAAUCAGAAAGCCACGGCUAACUACGUGCCAGCAGCCGCGGUAAUACGUAGGUGGCAAGCGUUAUCCGGAAUUAUUGGGCGUAAAGCGCGCGUAGGCGGUUUUUUAAGUCUGAUGUGAAAGCCCACGGCUCAACCGUGGAGGGUCAUUGGAAACUGGAAAACUUGAGUGCAGAAGAGGAAAGUGGAAUUCCAUGUGUAGCGGUGAAAUGCGCAGAGAUAUGGAGGAACACCAGUGGCGAAGGCGACUUUCUGGUCUGUAACUGACGCUGAUGUGCGAAAGCGUGGGGAUCAAACAGGAUUAGAUACCCUGGUAGUCCACGCCGUAAACGAUGAGUGCUAAGUGUUAGGGGGUUUCCGCCCCUUAGUGCUGCAGCUAACGCAUUAAGCACUCCGCCUGGGGAGUACGACCGCAAGGUUGAAACUCAAAGGAAUUGACGGGGACCCGCACAAGCGGUGGAGCAUGUGGUUUAAUUCGAAGCAACGCGAAGAACCUUACCAAAUCUUGACAUCCUUUGACAACUCUAGAGAUAGAGCCUUCCCCUUCGGGGGACAAAGUGACAGGUGGUGCAUGGUUGUCGUCAGCUCGUGUCGUGAGAUGUUGGGUUAAGUCCCGCAACGAGCGCAACCCUUAAGCUUAGUUGCCAUCAUUAAGUUGGGCACUCUAAGUUGACUGCCGGUGACAAACCGGAGGAAGGUGGGGAUGACGUCAAAUCAUCAUGCCCCUUAUGAUUUGGGCUACACACGUGCUACAAUGGACAAUACAAAGGGCAGCGAAACCGCGAGGUCAAGCAAAUCCCAUAAAGUUGUUCUCAGUUCGGAUUGUAGUCUGCAACUCGACUACAUGAAGCUGGAAUCGCUAGUAAUCGUAGAUCAGCAUGCUACGGUGAAUACGUUCCCGGGUCU
rnacentral:rRNA from 1 species